rnacentral:snoRNA from 1 species
UCGCACAAUUCAUUGUCCUGCUCUGUUUACCCUGAAGAGUUGUGAUAUUUCUGCUGUGCUAGAAAAAACUGGAGGUAAAUUAGCAGAGUGACUAUCGAGUGUCAUCUUUGCCAGUCCCCUUCAGACAUGA